UCUCUUUUCUGAAGCAGAAUAUUCCACAGAUCUAGGCUGCAGAACAUUCCUCUGCUGAGAUUCUUGCACAGGAUUAAUGGAGAGGAGUCCAUUGGUAGCCUCACUGCUAAUCCUGUGGCUUCACCUUGGCGGAGUGGGCAGCGUAUUGAAUGUGGAACAGAAUCCUCCAUGGCUUCAUGUUCAGGAAGGAGAGAACACCAAUUUCACCUGCCGUUUUCCUUCCAGCAGUUUUUACUCUUUACAGUGGUACAGAUGGGAACCUGCAAAAAGCCCCACGUUCCUGUUCUCAGUUACUUUAAAUGGGGAUGAAAAGAAGAAAGGACGAGUAAAAACCACUCUUAAUACACAGGAGGGUUAUAGCUCCUUGUACAUCGAAGGAUUCCAGCCUGAAGAUGCAGUCAUAUACCUCUGUGCUAUGACACGGUGCUCUUCAGGCACCUGCAGCCCAUAUCAAAACCCAUGGCUGGUGCUGCUCUGGCACCAGCAUUGACAAGAGCAUGAGUGGGGCACCUGAGUGGUUGGUUAA